GUCAGAAUCGCUGAGUGGUCUAAAGCGCUAGACUCAAGUUCUGGUCUUCAGCUGUAGGCGUGGGUUCAAAUCCCACUUCUGACA